GGCUCGGUAGCUUAGUUGAUAAAGCGCUCGUCUAGCAUACAAGAGUCCUGGGUUCGAAUCCCAGCCGAGCAC
rnacentral:tRNA from 1 species